rnacentral:rRNA from 1 species
AUUGAACGCUGGCGGCAGGCCUAACACAUGCAAGUCGAACGGUAACAGGAAACAGCUUGCUGUUUGGCUGCCGCGUGGCGGAGGGGUGGGUAAUGUCUGGAAAACUGCUUGAGGGCGGGGGUUACUUCCUGAAACCGGUGGCUAAUCCGGCUUAACGUCGCAAGACCAAAGGGGGGGACUUUCGGGCCUCUUUCCAUCAAAUUUGCCCAGAUGGGUUUAGCUAGUAGGUGGGUUAACGGCUCACCUAGGCGACGAUCCCUAGCUGGUCUGAGAGGUUGACCAGCCACACUGGAACUGAGACACGGUCCAGACUCCUACGGGAGGCAGCAGUGGGGAAUAUUGCACAAUGGGCGCAAGCCUGAUGGAGCCAUGCCGCGUGUAUGAAGAAGGCCUUCGGGUUGUAAAGUACUUUCAGCGGGGAGGAAGGGAGUAAAGUUAAUACCUUUGCGCAUUGACGUUACCCGCAGAAGAAGCACCGGCUAACUCCGUG